GGAGAAGAGAGAGAGUCAUCACAGGCGUCAUCCUGGUGGGGAAUGAGGUGCUCACGGGAAGACACGGAAGAGUGAGGAUCCCGACCGGCCUGGCUGCGUGAUGGUGACAUAGUUACCAUGACUCCAAGCCUCACGUGCUUAUGUCUUCAAAUCUAGUGAACAGUGUCACAGAUUAGCCAACGCUGGACCACAGAGCACCAGGAGGAAAACCACUGCCCCAGGUGGGCAGGCAGGAAAGAGCCAGCCCAGUGCACUCGCCCCAGGCCUGGAAGAAGUCAGACCCUAAGUGGCCAGGGAAACUUCAAGACCUGCGAAGACCUGGUCAAGUCAGAUGGUCAAGAGAGCAUGCAUGAGAGCAGGGGAGAUACACGUACACAGAUGCCCACUGCUGUUCCUUUGGGCCUCAUUCGCACCUAGCAUUCCCCAUGCCCACUGCGGACAGAGCUCAGCUGCACCCAGGAUGCGUGGAAGUUAGGUGAGACUCAAAAUGAGUACAAGACAAGUGUAUUGCUUUGGCCCAGAGAGGCUGUGCUUCUGUUCCAAUCAGAACUUGCUUUGAACACGAAAAGGGCGAUCGCAUUCUCUGAAACAUGAAUGACCGAGGAUCCCCAUCAUAUACCUUCUUAGUCAUGUUACUUCCAUGUAGUAGCCAACAUGUGGGCUGAAAGAAAGGGAAAGGUGGGGCAACCCCCGGUUCCUUUCCUUGCAGUCCUUCCUCACCCAUCAGUAAGGUGAAGGUAGAG